CAUCAGGUAGCUCAGCGGUUUAGAGCAGAUGCCCGGCAAGCGAAAGACCCGGGUUCGAUUCCCGGUUUAGCGA
rnacentral:tRNA from 1 species